AUUGAACGCUGGCGGCAGGCCUAACACAUGCAAGUCGAACGAGUGGCGGACGGGUGAGGAAGGUCUGGGAAAAUGACUGAAGGAGGGGGAUAAAUACUGGAAACGGUAGCGAAUACCGCAUACCAUCGGAUGUGCCGAGAUGGGAUUAGCUAGUAGGUGGGGUAACGGCUCACCUAGGCGACGCUCCCUAGCUGGUCUGAGAGGAUGACCAGCCACACUGAAACUGAGACACGGUCCAGCCUCCUCCGGUAGGCAGCAGUGGGGAAUAUUGCACAAUGGGCGCAAGCCUGAUGCAGCCAUUCCGCGUGUAUGAAGAAGGCCUUCGGGUUGUAAAGUACUUUCAGCGGGGAGGCGUUACCCGCAGAUGAAGCACCGGCUAACUCCGUGCCAGCAGCCGCGGUAAUUC
rnacentral:rRNA from 1 species